GUUAAAUUUAAAGGGCUAACCCCGGAAAGGCAGGCUGGGGGAAAGGAUCUACUAUCAAAGGAUAGCACUACAUUGUCUGUUUCAAACUAUUCACCGCUGCACUGAGCAGUGGAGGGGAGUAUAUUGCCCAUGGAAAGAAGAGUGAAGUGCAAUUGGGAAAACAGUUGGUAUCCUGGGUCAGCAACGGAAAACCCACCAGAGAGGAUGGUGACUUGCCUGGGAUGAGAAAGAGAAGGAUGAGAUAAAUUUUCUGUACGAUUGGGGAAACCAUUUUCUCCUAACUCCACUGAAUGCUUCUAACAUGGUAAUGCUUAGUACGACUUCUGGCAUAUUGAUGUUGGCUCUCCGACUAGACAACGUGCCAAGCUGUCCUGGGGGCCUUAAUUAUUGCAACUUCAGGCCGGUGUUGCCUGCCUACGGCACAAUCCCACGGCCUAGAGUGAACCCUGAAAACGCUUAAUUAAAUGACGUUCCACAAUAGAUUAAUGUAUCGGAAACUCAAGAUCCAGAAAAAGGAUAUUGCAGGAGCAGCAGCAGCAGAUGCUCUUCCCCUUCAGGAUAACAUCCUGACAAGCUCUUUCAACCUGAGCAUCUUCAAAAAGCAGCCGUGUGAGAUCAAUGUGGGAUAGUCAUCUGGCUUUUUGGUUUGUCCGCAUAGUGAUGCAUAGAGACCUUGUUUGGGACCAGAUCCUUUGUGAUCAUGAACUUCAUUGUAGCUUUGCUGAUUUACUCCACCUGAGGAUCCGUUCCUGAUCAGUCACCAUUAUAACCCUGCAACUCCCAAUGCGCUCAAUGGGAGCUGAGUGGCUUUCACUAAGGCAGUAUUUUCACCUAUAAUCAUGGCUGAAUUUUGGCCUGAUCUUGAAGUAUGCUCAUGUGAGUAAGAAUUGCGGGGCAGGUCUCCAGCUAGUGUAAAUCUGUAUCGUUCCAUAGGCUUCACAUGGAGUUAAGCCAAUUUAUAGUAACAUUGGAUCUGGCCCUGUCAGAAUAGGAAUUUGCAGGGUUGGAUCCUUCAACCAUCUUUUCCCAAAGUGACCAGUGAUUUUGUGUGCCUCAGUUUUUUGGAUGCCCAACUUGAGAUGUGGGCUCGAUUGUCCAAUGUGUGAGGACCCAGAGCUCCAGCUGAGUUUCUGCUCAGCACUUCUGAAAUUCAGGGCCAACAUGUCUCUGAGAAGGUACCAAAAAUCAGGGCCCACUUUUGAAAAACCCUAAAUCCAACCCCCAUCUAGCAGGCAGGUGGCUACAAGGCAUUGCACUGUGUGCAAUACGCACCAUCAAGCUGCAUUAGUAACCCCCCGGGGAGCCAAAGUCUAAGUACACUGCAACUACAAAAGAUCUGACUAAAAUGCUGUAAAUAUGACAUUGUACAGACUAGCACUGAAAUCUUCACGACGCUGUUCAGAGCAAGGAAAUGACAGCGAGUGGGACACAUGCAGCACACACAGGGCAAAUCUCUUAUAAGGGCCAAUUUGUAAAGGCAGUUAUCACUAAUAUUGUGUUCUAUCAUAUUAUUCUUCAAUUAUUUGCUCCAACAGCUCUCUUGUCUUGGCUUAAUAAGCCGGUUCUGUAGAAGCUACCCGGGAUUGAUUUCCUUUCUGCAAAGAGAAGUGGAUCAUGGUUGGAUUUCGUGACAUUUCUGCGGGCUUAGCUUGUUUGUUUCUGGUGCCUCCUCUCCCCUCCCCACAGUCCUGUG